GGCCCCGCCCCCGCCCCUGCCCCGGGGCAGCCUGUGCUGUUCCGUGUGCGCGGCGCAUACGCACCUGGGUUGUCUCGAGCCUGCGGUAGUGGCCAGAUCCCAGACAUCCGAGUAGAUCCCGUGAAAAGGUCUCCCACGUGGGCUGUGGACAGGGCCCAAGGGUAGCAGAGCUAGCAGAGGCAGUGACGGACUGUGUGGCAGCUUCUUCUUGGUUUCUUCGUACAUUCUGGAUCCACCCCUUUCAUGCAUAUUCCAGACCACAUUUCCACUGGAGCAGUUGAAAUGAGAGAGAUGGGAAUGGGACUCACCCGAACCAGAGGAAUUUUUAUUACAGACCCAUUAACAGAGGUGUCAAAGUCACAGGAACAAGGAUGUGCACCUCAGAAACACAGAGGUCAGUGGAAAAUCAGUUUGCUUCUAUUUGUUUAAAAAAUGGGGGACUUAUGCAUAAAUCUAAGACCUUCUUGAAUCUAACAUUCUAAGACCUGUAUGCCACAGAAAGGAGGGUCUCAGAACGCCGGAGGAUAGUAUUUAAAUCUUAAAUAUCUAUAUUGUUCUCCACAGUUACUGGGUCACCACAUAGCAGGCAUUCAAUAAAAACGUGUUUGUUUACUA
rnacentral:lncRNA from 1 species